UGGGGGAUAUUGCACAAUGGGCGGAAGCCUGAUGCAGCGACGUCGCGUGAGGGAUGGAGGCCUUCGGGUUGUGAACCUCUUUCGCCAGUGAAGUAGGUCUGCUCCUGUGUGGGUGGGUUGACGGUAGCUGGGUUUUUAAGAAGCGCCGGCUAACUACGUGCCAGCAGCCGCGGUGAUACGUAGGGCGCGAGCGUUGUCCGGAAUUAUUGGGCGUAAAGGGCUUGUAGGCGGCUGGUCGCGUCUGCCGUGAAAUCCUCUGGCUUAACUGGGGGUGUGCGGUGGGUACGGGUCGGCUUGAGUGCGGUAGGGGAGGCUGGAACUCCUGGUGUAGCGGUGGAAUGCGCAGAUAUCAGGAAGAACACCGGUGGCGAAGGCGGGUCUCUGGGCCGUUACUGACGCUGAGGAGCGAAAGCGUGGGGAGCGAACAGG
rnacentral:rRNA from 1 species